rnacentral:rRNA from 1 species
AUUGAACGCUGGCGGCAUGCUUUACACAUGCAAGUCGAACGGUAACAGGCCGCAAGGUGCUGACGAGUGGCGAACGGGUGAGUAAUGCAUCGGAACGUGCCCAGUGGUGGGGGAUAACGCAGCGAAAGCUGUGCUAAUACCGCAUACGAUCUGUGGAUGAAAGCGGGGGACCUUCGGGCCUCGCGCGAUUGGAGCGGUCGGUGUCAGAUUAGGUAGGUGGUGGGGUAAAGGCUCACCAAGCCGACGAUGUGUAGCGGGUCUGAGAGGACGACCAGCCACACUGGGACUGAGACACGGCCCAGACUCCUACGGGAGGCAGCAGUGGGGAAUUUUGGACAAUGGGCGCAAGCCUGAUCCAGCAAUGCCGCGUGCAGGAAGAAGGCCUUCGGGUUGUAAACUGCUUUUGUACGGAGCGAAAAGGCUCCCUCUAAUACAGGGGGCUCAUGACGGUACCGUAAGAAUAAGCACCGGCUAACUACGUGCCAGCCGCCGCCGUAACAC